rnacentral:misc_RNA from 1 species
UCAAACUUGGUCAUUUAGAGGAAGUAAAAGUCGUAACAAGGUCUCCGUUGGUGAACCAGCGGAGGGAUCAUUACAGAGUUGACAAACUCCUAAACCCUUUGUGAACCUACCAUUCUGUUGCUUCGGCAGGCCGUCCUUUAGGGGACAGUUUGCGCCUGCCGGAGGUUUUAAACUCUUCUGUUUCUUGUUAUCUUCUGAGAAUAAAGCAAAUAAAUCAAAACUUUCAACAACGGAUCUCUUGGUUCUGGCAUCGAUGAAGAACGCAGC